AGGAGUGUAGCUCAGUUGGUAGAGCAGUGGUCUCCAAAACCACCGGUCGAGGGUUCGAGUCCUUCCACUCCUGCCA
rnacentral:tRNA from 1 species